GCCUGGCUAGCUCAAUCGGUAGAGCGUGAGACUCUUACGACUCCUCUCUCACGAAAGGACGAUAUCUCAAGGCUGCGGGUUCGACCCCCGCGUUGGGCU